rnacentral:lncRNA from 1 species
CGAGCUGGCAGCCGCCGUCCGUGAGGAGGAACAUGACCAUUGCUCUAUGUCAUGGUUCCAGAGCCCGUGGUCAUCAGAGUCACUUGGAGAGAGUUCUAAAGCAGAGGUUUCCAUGCAACACCCAGGAACCCAGAAAUUCCUUACAGAAAGAACUUACUAUUCAAAGCUCCCUGUCCUGUCAUGUCCAGCCAAAUUUGGGGACCCCUGGCCUUGGGUAUGCCAAUUCUGUCAAAAUGUGUAUAUUCUGUGGUGUUUGUCCCAGAGGCCUGUCAAGAUGCUCAAAAUAUGCCUCACAGAAGCCAGAGACUGGCUAAUCAGUGAUGGCACGUGUUGCCUGUCUCAGACCUUAAUCUGGAAAGAACUUAAGAGUAUCUGUCUA